GGGAUUAACCAUCGGACAAAACUAUGGUACCCAGUACCUCGAAUAAUUAGUGGGUUUUCAGUCCGUUUUACACGGAGCCAAGGUGUUCUCAAAAACCCUCGGGGAGGUGAAGCUCCCUCGAAUAUACUGGUCUGAGGUGUGAGGUACCCUCGAACACAGUGUCCCUUCCAGUUCUGGGGUAAACUCUUUCUGGCCCUCCCAUCCCCACAGAGCCACCAGUAUCCGGGCCCUAUGUUGCAUCUUGGACCGAGAUGCGACUCCCUUCUGUCUUCUUUCCCUUUGUACUUCUUU